AUGAAAGGGAUCAUGAAGGGUCGAACUUUUGGUCCUGUUUGCACGGUGUUACAGAGUGUGGAGUUUCAGAAGCGCGAUCUGCCACACAUACAUGUCCUCAUCUGGCUUGAAGGUAGGACAGGUGGAGGCCUAACCGACCUUGCAGAUACAUACAUCUUAGCCGAGAUUCUCGAUCCAGUAGUAGAUCCUCUUGGCUAUGCCUUAGUCGAAGAUUUUAUGAUGCAUGGCCCGUGUGGUUUAGCUAAUAAAAACUGCCCUUGCAUGAAAGAUAAGGUGUGCACAAAAAAUGUCCAAAACAAUUUCAGAGUGAGAGCACUGUUGACGAUAAGGGUUUUGUCAUGUAUAGGCGUCGUGAUUCUGGUAUAA
rnacentral:rRNA from 1 species